rnacentral:tRNA from 1 species
GCGGGUGUAACUCAAUUGGUAGAGUGUCGGCUUUCCAAGCCGUUCGUUGCAAGUUCAAAUCUUGUCGCCCGCUCCA